rnacentral:rRNA from 1 species
UACGUAGGGUCCGAGCGUUGUCCGGAUUUAUUGGGCGUAAAGAGCUCGUAGGCGGUUCCGUAAGUCAGAUGUGAAAACUCAGGGCUCAACCCGGAGACGCCAUCUGAUACUGCGGUGACUGGAGUCUGGUAGGGGAUCACGGGAAUACCUGGUGUAGCGGUGAAAUGCGCAGAUAUCAGGUGGAACACCGAUGGCGAAGGCAGUGAUCUGGGCCAGUACUGACGCUGAGGAGCGAAAGCGUGGGGAGCAAACAGG